UAGUCCACGCCGUAAACGAUGAGCACUAGUUAUUGGAGGUAUUAACCCCUUCAGUAACGUAGCAAACGCAUUAAGUGCUCCGCCUGGGGAGUACGGUCGCAAGACUAAAACUCAAAGGAAUUGACGGGGGCCCGCACAAGCGGUGGAUUAUGUGGUUUAAUUCGAAGCAACGCGCAAAACCUUACCUGGGCUUGAAAUCUUAGGAACCUGCUAGAGAUAGCGGGGUGCCCUUCGGGGAAUCUAAUGACGGGCGCUGCAUGACUGUCGUCAGCUCGUGUUGUGAAAUGUUGGGUUAAGUCUCGCAACGAGCGCAACCCCUAUCUUCUGUUGCCAGCAUUAAGUUGGGCACUCUGGAGAGACUGCCUGGGUUAACCAGGAGGAAGGUGGGGAUGACGUCAAGUCCUCAUGGCCCUUAUGUCCAGGGCUACACACGUAAUACAAUGGAUAAUACAGAGGGAUGCGAACCAGCGAUGGGGAGCAAAUCUCAAAAAGUUAUUCUCAGUCCGGA
rnacentral:rRNA from 1 species